rfam:Biomphalaria glabrata isolate BB02 unplaced genomic scaffold LGTN_random_Scaffold3322, whole genome shotgun sequence.
UUACUCUGGCUUCACUACACCUACGGGUAAAUCUUUCGCCUUUUACUAAAGAUUUCCGUGUAGAGGAGCAUACUAAUGAGUCUAAAUCAAAUUUUUCAAGCCCUACCAAUGUAGGGU